rnacentral:rRNA from 1 species
GUCGAGCGGAUGACGGGAGCUUGCUCCUGGAUUCAGCGGCGGACGGGUGAGUAAUGCCUAGGAAUCUGCCUGGUAGUGGGGGACAACGUUUCGAAAGGAACGCUAAUACCGCAUACGUCCUACGGGAGAAAGCAGGGGACCUUCGGGCCUUGCGCUAUCAGAUGAGCCUAGGUCGGAUUAGCUAGUUGGUGGGGUAAUGGCUCACCAAGGCGACGAUCCGUAACUGGUCUGAGAGGAUGAUCAGUCACACUGGAACUGAGACACGGUCCAGACUCCUACGGGAGGCAGCAGUGGGGAAUAUUGGACAAUGGGCGAAAGCCUGAUCCAGCCAUGCCGCGUGUGUGAAGAAGGUCUUCGGAUUGUAAAGCACUUUAAGUUGGGAGGAAGGGCAGUAAGCGAAUACCUUGCUGUUUUGACGUUACCGACAGAAUAAGCACCGGCUAACUCUGUGCCAGCAGCCGCGGUAAUACAGAGGGUGCAAGCGUUAAUCGGAAUUACUGGGCGUAAAGCGCGCGUAGGUGGUUCGUUAAGUUGGAUGUGAAAGCCCCGGGCUCAACCUGGGAACUGCAUCCAAAACUGGCGAGCUAGAGUAUGGUAGAGGGUGGUGGAAUUUCCUGUGUAGCGGUGAAAUGCGUAGAUAUAGGAAGGAACACCAGUGGCGAAGGCGACCCCCUGGACUGAUACUGACACUGAGGUGC